UUUGCCCUUGGCAUGUCAUACCACUUGCCUCUGGUGCAGCAUGUGCAGUUCAUCUUCGACCUCAUGGAAUAUUCACUCAGCAUCAGUGGCCUCAUCGACUUUGCCAUUCAGCUGCUGAAUGAACUGAGUGUAGUUGAGGCUGAGCUGCUUCUCAAAUCCUCGGAUCUGGUGGGCAGCUACACUACUAGCCUGUGCCUGUGCAUCGUGGCUGUCCUGCGGCACUAUCAUGCCUGCCUCAUCCUCAACCAGGACCAGAUGGCACAGGUCUUUGAGGGGCUGUGUGGCGUCGUGAAGCAUGGGAUGAACCGGUCCGAUGGCUCCUCUGCAGAGCGCUGUAUCCUUGCUUAUCUCUAUGAUCUGUACACCUCUUGUAGCCAUUUAAAGAACAAAUUUGGGGAGCUCUUCAGGUAAGAGAGGUGGAAGGUAAGGGGUAGCGAGUGGGACCUACUCCCUUCUUCCCAUGACCACCCAACUCAGGAGGAGAGGAUGGCCCGGGACCCUGCUGCCUGUCUAGGGUCAUUUGUGGACUGUGUCCUCCACAUACUGUUGUGUUACCAAGAGUGGGCCCUCUUCCUCAGCAGGCUUGCUCCCCGCCUAUAUCUGUGGGGCCCACCCUCUUCCCCCUUUUCCU
rnacentral:sRNA from 1 species